GGGGCCUGCCUUUCAGGCAUCCUCUCCUAAAACUUUCAAGGGCCGGUCAACUGAUCGGCCUUUUUUUUAACUUUCG
rnacentral:sRNA from 1 species